AGCGGCGGACGGGUGAGUUUCGCGUGGGUAACCUGCCUCAUACACAUGGAUAACAUACCGAAAGGUAUGCUAAUACAAGAUGAUAUAAGAGAUUCGCAUGGAUUUCUUAUCAAAGCUCCGGCGAUAUGAGAUGGACCUGCGUCUGAUUAGCUAGUUGGUAAGGUAACGGCUUACCAAGGCGACGAUCAGUAGCCGACCUGAGAGGGUGAUCGGCCACAUUGGAACUGAGACACGGUCCAAACUCCUACGGGAGGCAGCAGUGGGGAAUAUUGCACAAUGGGCGAAAGCCUGAUGCAGCAACGCCGCGUGAGUGAUGAAGGCCUUCGGGUCGUAAAACUCUGUCCUCAAGGAAGAUAAUGACGGUACUUGAGGAGGAAGCCCCGGCUAACUACGUGCCAGCAGCCGCGGUAAUACGUAGGGGGCUAGCGUUAUCCGGAUUUACUGGGCGUAAAGGGUGCGUAGGUGGUCUCUUAAGUCAGGAGUGAAAGGCUACGGCCUAACCGUAGUAAGCUCUUGAAACUGGGAGACUUGAGUGCAGGAGAGGAAAGUGGAAUUCCUAGUGUAGCGGUGAAAUGCGUAGAUAUUAGGAGGAACACCAGUAGCGAAGGCGGCUUUCUGGACCGUAACUGACACUGAGGCACGAAAGCGUGGGGGGCAAACAGGAUUAGAUACCCUGGUAGUCCACGCCGUAAACGAUGAGUACUAGGUGU
rnacentral:rRNA from 1 species